rnacentral:rRNA from 1 species
GACGAACGCUGGCGGCGUGCUUAACACAUGCAAGUCGAACGGAAAGGCCCUGCUUUUGUUGGUUUCUCGAUUGGCGAACGGGUGAGUGACACGUGAGUAACCUCCCCUUGUCUUUGUGGUAACUUCUGGAAACUGGGGCUAAUACCCGAGAGAAUCUCCUGCUGCAUGGGGUGCGAUGGAGAAUGUCGGCGGUUGUGUCUGGUCUCGCUGGUUAUGAGCUUGUUUGUGGGGUAGGUGCGUACCAGGCGUUUGACGGGUAGCCUGCCUGGGAGCGUUACCGGCCACAUUGGGACUACGAUACGGAGCAGAAGCCUACGGGACGCAGCAGUGGGGAAUCUUGCACAAUGGGCGCACGUCUGAUGCAGAAACGUUGCGUGCGGGAUGCUGGCCUACGGGUUGUAAACAGAUUUCGAAGGUAACGAAGCGUGAGUGACGGUAAUGGGUAAAGAAGCAACGGCUAACUACGUG